GGCACCGUCCGAACUGAAACAUCUCAGUAGGGCGAGGAAAAGAAAUCAACCGAGAUUCCCUCAGUAGCGGCGAGCGAACGGGGAGGAGCCUAAACCAGGGCCGAGCAAUCGGCACUGGGGUUGCGGGACGCCGACAGCGUGAUGCACGGAGCCUAGCCGAACUGGUCUGGAAAGGCCGGCCGCAGAAGGUAACAGCCCUGUAGGCGAAAGGUGAGGUGCCGCGUGGCGGAUCCCAAGUACCACGGGACACGAGGAAUCCCGUGGGAAUCCGGGGGGACCACCCUCCAAGGCUAAAUACGCCUGGCGACCGAUAGUGAACCAGUACCGUGAGGGAAAGGUGAAAAGCACCGCGGGAGCGGAGUGAAAGAGACCCUGAAACCGUGUGCCUACAAGCAGUACGAGCCCCGUGAAGUGGGUGAGUGCGUGCCUAUUGAAGAAUGAACCGGCGAGUUACGGUCACUGGCAGGGUUAAGGGCCUCAGGCCCGGAGCCGAAGCGAAAGCGAGUCUGAAGAGGGCGGAGUCAGUGGCUGUAGACCCGAAACCCGGUGAUCUAUCCAUGGCCAGGGUGAAGCGGGGGUAAGACCUCGUGGAGGCCCGAACCGGUCAGUGUUGAAAAACUGUCGGAUGAGCUGUGGAUAGGGGUGAAAAGCCAAUCGAACCGGGAGAUAGCUGGUUCUCCCCGAAAUAGCUUUAGGGCUAGCGUCGCUGUAAGGGGCUUGCUGGAGGUAGAGCACUGAUUGAGCUAGGGGCCUAAACCGGUUACCGAACUCAGUCAAACUCCGAAUGCCGGCAAGCGGAAGCGGCAGUCAGACGGCGAGCGCUAAGGUCCGUCGUCAAGAGGGAAACAGCCCAGACCGCCAGCUAAGGUCCCAAAGUCUCUGCUAAGUGGGCAAGGAUGUGGCGUUGUCAAGACAACCAGGAUGUUGGCUUAGAAGCAGCCAUCAUUGAAAGAGUGCGUAAUAGCUCACUGGUCGAAUGACGCUGCGCCAUAAAUACUCGGGGCUAAGCAGGACACCGAAGCUGCGGACUGCUGUAGAGCAGUGGUAGGGGAGCGUUCCAUGGGCGUCGAAGGUCGACCGGAAGGACGGCUGGAGCGCAUGGAAGUGAGAAUGCCGGUAUGAGUAGCGAAAAGACAGGUGAGAAUCCUGUCCACCGAAAGCCUAAGGAUUCCUGAGCAAGGCUCGUCCGCUCAGGGUUAGUCGGGACCUAAGCCGAGGCCGAAUGGCGUAGGCGAUGGGAAACAGGUCGACAUUCCUGUACCACCUACGGGUCGCUUGACUGAUGCGGGGACGCAGGAGGCUAGGGGGACCCGGCCGCUGGUUGUGCCGGGGUAAGCGGGAAGCGUGGCCCGGCAGGGAAGUCCGUCGGGCCGGACGUGAGCCGUGAUGCCGACCGAAAUUCAGUAGGGAAGCCCCUGACGCCACACUGCCGAGAAAAGCCGCUAGGGAGACCCGGGGUGCCCGUACCGCAAACCGACACAGGUAGGCGGGGAGAGAAUCCUAAGGUGCGCGGGAGAACCCUCGCUAAGGAACUCGGCAAAAUGCAUCCGUAACUUCGGGAGAAGGAUGGCCCUCGGACCGUGAGCGGAGAGACGCCGCAGAGCGGGGGAGGGUUGCAGAGGAGAGGCCCAAGCGACUGUUUACCACAAACACAGGUCAGUGCUAAGCCGGAAGGCGACGUAUACUGGCUGACGCCUGCCCGGUGCUGGAAGGUUAAGGGGAGAGGUCAGGCCGGAAGGCUGAAGCUUUGAACCGAAGCCCCAGUAAACGGCGGCCGUAACUAUAACGGUCCUAAGGUAGCGAAAUUCCUUGUCGGGUAAGUUCCGACCCGCACGAAUGGCGUAACGACUUGGGCACUGUCUCAGCGAGGGACCCGGUGAAAUUGAAGUACCUGUGAAGAUGCAGGUUACCUGCGAUUGGACAGAAAGACCCCAUGGAGCUUUACUGUAGCCUGGCAUUGGAUUUUGGUGGUGCGUGUACAGGAUAGGUGGGAGCCGGAGAACCUGGGUCGCCAGAUUCAGGGGAGGCGCCGUUGGGAUACCACCCUCGCGGCAUCGAAGUUCUAACACGGGCCCCUGAAGCGGGGCAGUGGACCGUGCCAGGUGGGCAGUUUGACUGGGGCGGUCGCCUCCUAAAGGGUAACGGAGGCGCCCAAAGGU
rnacentral:rRNA from 1 species